UAGAGUUUGAUCCUGGCUCAGGACGAACGCUGGCUGCGUGCUUAACACAUGCAAGUCGAACGCUGAAGCCGGGUGCUUGCACCUGGUGGAUGAGUGGCGAACGGGUGAGUAACACGUGAGUAACCUGCCCCUGAUUUCGGGAUAAGCCUGGGAAACCGGGUCUAAUACCGGACACGACCGGAGAAGGCAUCUUCUCUGGUGGAAAGUUUUUCGAUUGGGGAUGGGCUCGCGGCCUAUCAGUUUGUUGGUGGGGUAAUGGCCUACCAAGGCGACGACGGGUAGCCGGCCUGAGAGGGCGACCGGCCACACUGGGACUGAGACACGGCCCAGACUCCUACGGGAGGCAGCAGUGGGGAAUAUUGCACAAUGGGGGAAACCCUGAUGCAGCGACGCAGCGUGCGGGAUGACGGCCUUCGGGUUGUAAACCGCUUUCAGUAGGGAAGAAGCCUUUGUGGUGACGGUACCUGCAGAAGAAGUACCGGCUAACUACGUGCCAGCAGCCGCGGUAAUACGUAGGGUACGAGCGUUGUCCGGAAUUAUUGGGCGUAAAGAGCUCGUAGGUGGUUGGUCACGUCUGCUGUGGAAACGCAACGCUUAACGUUGCGCGGGCAGUGGGUACGGGCUGACUAGAGUGCAGUAGGGGAGUCUGGAAUUCCUGGUGUAGCGGUGAAAUGCGCAGAUAUCAGGAGGAACACCGGUGGCGAAGGCGGGACUCUGGGCUGUAACUGACACUGAGGAGCGAAAGCAUGGGGAGCGAACAGGAUUAGAUACCCUGGUAGUCCAUGCCGUAAACGUUGGGCACUAGGUGUGGGGGGCAUUCCACGUUCUCCGCGCCGUAGCUAACGCAUUAAGUGCUCCGCUC
rnacentral:rRNA from 1 species